ACAUGCCAUUUGAGCGAACGGACGAGAAGCUUGCUUCUCUGAUGUUAGCGGCGGACGGGUGAGUAACACGUGGAUAACCUACCUAUAAGACUGGGAUAACUUCGGGAAACCGGAGCUAAUACCGGAUAAUAUUUUGAACCGCAUGGUUCAAAAGUGAAAGACGGUCUUGCUGUCACUUAUAGAUGGAUCCGCGCUGCAUUAGCUAGUUGGUAAGGUAACGGCUUACCAAGGCAACGAUGCAUAGCCGACCUGAGAGGGUGAUCGGCCACACUGGAACUGAGACACGGUCCAGACUCCUACGGGAGGCAGCAGUAGGGAAUCUUCCGCAAUGGGCGAAAGCCUGACGGAGCAACGCCGCGUGAGUGAUGAAGGUCUUCGGAUCGUAAAACUCUGUUAUUAGGGAAGAACAUAUGUGUAAGUAACUGUGCACAUCUUGACGGUACCUAAUCAGAAAGCCACGGCUAACUACGUGCCAGCAGCCGCGGUAAUACGUAGGUGGCAAGCGUUAUCCGGAAUUAUUGGGCGUAAAGCGCGCGUAGGCGGUUUUUUAAGUCUGAUGUGAAAGCCCACGGCUCAACCGUGGAGGGUCAUUGGAAACUGGAAAACUUGAGUGCAGAAGAGGAAAGUGGAAUUCCAUGUGUAGCGGUGAAAUGCGCAGAGAUAUGGAGGAACACCAGUGGCGAAGGCGACUUUCUGGUCUGUAACUGACGCUGAUGUGCGAAAGCGUGGGGAUCAAACAGGAUUAGAUACCCUGGUAGUCCACGCCGUAAACGAUGAGUGCUAAGUGUUAGGGGGUUUCCGCCCCUUAGUGCUGCAGCUAACGCAUUAAGCACUCCGCCUGGGGAGUACGACCGCAAGGUUGAAACUCAAAGGAAUUGACGGGGACCCGCACAAGCGGUGGAGCAUGUGGUUUAAUUCGAAGCAACGCGAAGAACCUUACCAAAUCUUGACAUCCUUUGACAACUCUAGAGAUAGAGCUUUCCCCUUCGGGGGACAAAGUGACAGGUGGUGCAUGGUUGUCGUCAGCUCGUGUCGUGAGAUGUUGGGUUAAGUCCCGCAACGAGCGCAACCCUUAAGCUUAGUUGCCAUCAUUAAGUUGGGCACUCUAAGUUGACUGCCGGUGACAAACCGGAGGAAGGUGGGGAUGACGUCAAAUCAUCAUGCCCCUUAUGAUUUGGGCUACACACGUGCUACAAUGGACAAUACAAAGGGCAGCGAAACCGUGAGGUCAAGCAAAUCCCAUAAAGUUGUUCUCAGUUCGGAUUGUAGUCUGCAACUCGACUACAUGAAGCUGGAAUCGCUAGUAAUCGUAGAUCAGCAUGCUACGGUGAAUACGUUCCAGGGUCU
rnacentral:rRNA from 1 species